UUUGUGAUUCAUGACUGGGGUGAAGUCGUAACAAGGUAACCGUAGGGGAACCUGCGGUUGGAUCACCUCCUUACCAAUAAAGAUGUGUGUUAAGUGAAGUGCUCACACAGAUUGUCUGAUGAA
rnacentral:rRNA from 1 species